rnacentral:tRNA from 1 species
AGCAAGAUAAGCUAACCAAGCUCCUGGGCCCAUACCCCAGCCAUGCCGGUGAAAAUCCCGCUCUUGCUA